CCAUUUAUUAAGAGUCAACCAUGUCCUGGACACUUGUCAACUCCGCAAGCAGUUCCAAGUCCUUCCCACCUCUCAGCUGUGAAUAGAAGUGAUAACCCUUCCCACUAAGAAAUGCAAAGAAGCACACGUGCCCCAUAAUCUGAAGACUUAUGGAAACACUGUGAGAUAGAGAUCCCUGAAGAGCCCCCCAUAUAAAGAACUGUAGAGCUGCACUGACCAGUAGGAUGCUCCAUUUUAAAUUGCCUGGAUCAAGAAUGCAGUAGCAGUUAUAUCACUGAUGGGCAGUGAUCCAUCUGCCAGCACAUAUUUUUAUUUCAGUUGACAUUAAAUAAUAUGUCUCUAACAAAUGCUUUAUAUAAAGGGAACAACUCUGAAGUUGGAGGAUUCGCUUCAUAAUGCGUGCAUAUAAAAGACAUUUCAUCAAGAGAUGAAGAAUGCUAAAAAUAUUAAGGUAUCAUU
rnacentral:lncRNA from 10 species